GCGACGAGUGUGUCCAACAAUGAAAAGAGAGAAAAAGAAGAGGAGGGUGACCAAACAGGUUGGAGUACGAUUUAGGAGGCUCAACUUUGAACUUUGAAUUAGUCGUAUGUACAGGGAGCUGAUCUGAAGGAGAGAGCUGAGAUGAACUGUGUGUCUCCCAUAGGAGCUGAUCUGAAGGAGAGAGCUGAGAUGAACUGUGUGUCUCCCAUAGGAGCUGAUCUGAAGGAGAGAGCUGAGAUGAACUGUGUGUCUCCCAUAGGAGCUGAUCUGAAGGAGAGAGCUGAGAUGAACCACUCUGACUCCGAUCUAUUUGUUCACGGACUGCUCAGUGGGUGGUGUGUGUGUGGGCCAGGGGCUUCCCCCAGUCUAGUUCAGCCUUCAGCCUGUUCUCAUGCUAGUACAUCUCACCCCCAUCCUCAUAAUAUGUAAAGUUAUGAUAUGGGGGUAGUUUAGUGUUAGCACACAGUCAGGCAACACACUGCCAGGAUACACUUCCACACUGCAGGCUGCAGGUUUUUCUUUGGCGGCCAUGAGGCCUUUUGUUUGUUUUGUGUUUGGGCAUGUCUUUGGUAUUUUUCCUUUUUUGUACAUAUUUAAGUUUCGUCACCAUCUGAACAAAUAAUAAUCUGCUUGGACUGGCCGAUUAAGAGGUCAAAAAGGAGCUGGCCCUGGACCUUACGCUUAUUACACACAUUUAUGCACAUCAAAUAUAUUAUAUUUAUGCACAGGAUGAGCCUGCAGGAAGGGUACCACCUGAGGUUGGAGGAUGGCUUCCCUGUAAUGCACAUUGUUGAGAUUGCCUGCACAUCAAAUAAAUUAGCAGGCUAUUUAUUGGUUUCAUAACAAUAACUAGAUCUGUCUGAUCUCUCCA